UACGUAGGGGGCAAGCGUUGUCCGGAUUUAUUGGGCGUAAAAGGCUUGUAGGUGGCCACGCCAAGUCGGAUGAGAAAUCUCCCGGCUCAACUGGGAGGGGUCAUUCGAUACUGGCGGGCUCGAGGCCGGUAGGGGGAAGUGGAAUUCCCGGUGUAGUGGUGGAAUGCGUAGAUAUCGGGAGGAACACCAGUGGCGAAGGCGGCUUCCUGGACCGGUUCUGACACUGAGGAGCGAAAGCGUGGGGAGCGAUCCGG
rnacentral:rRNA from 1 species